rnacentral:rRNA from 1 species
GACGAACGCUGGCGGCGUGCUUAACACAUGCAGGUCGUACGGUAAGGCCCUUUCGGGGGUACACGAGUGGCGAACGGGUGAGUAACACGUGAGUAACCUGCCCACAACUUUGGGAUAACGCUAGGAAACUGGUGCUAAUACUGGAUAUGUGCCCCUGCUGCAUGGUGGGGGUUGGAAAGCUCCGGCGGUUGUGGAUGGACUCGCGGCCUAUCAGCUUGUUGGUGGGGUAGUGGCCUACCAAGGCGGCGACGGGUAGCCGGCCUGAGAGGGUGACCGGCCACAUUGGGACUGAGAUACGGCCCAGACUCCUACGGGAGGCAGCAGUGGGGAAUAUUGCACAAGGGGCGCAAGCCUGAUGCAGCAACGCCGCGUGCGGGAUGACGGCCUUCGGGUUGUAAACCGCUUUCAGCAGGGACGAAGCUUUUUGUGACGGUACCUGCAGAAGAAGCACCGGCUAACUACGUG